UGAGGAAUAUUGGUCAAUGGGCGAGAGCCUGAACCAGCCAAGUCGCGUGAAGGAAGACUGCCCGCCAGGGUUGUAAACCUCUUUCGUAUGGGAUUAAAGUCGUCUACGUGUAGGCGUUUGCAGUUACCCUACGAAUAAGCAUCGGCUAACUCCGUGCCAGCAGCCGCGGUAAUACGGAGGAUGCGAGCGUUAUCCGGAAUUAUUGGGUUUUAAGGGGGCGUAGGUUGCAAGGGAAGUCAGGGGUGAAAAGCUAUAGCGCAACUAUGGUCUUGCCUUGGAAACUGUCUAGCUAGAGUGGACUGGAGGUACGUGGAACGUGUGGUGGAGCGGUGAAAUGCAUAGAUAUCGCACAGAACUCCGAUUGCGCAGGCGGCGUACUACAUUACAACUGAUACUGAAGGACGAAAGCGGGGGUAUCAAACAGG
rnacentral:rRNA from 1 species